GAUGAACGCUGACAGAAUGCUUAACACAUGCAAGUCGAUGGGGAAGUGGUGCUUGCACCAUGGUAACCAUGGCGGACGGGUGAGUAACGCGUAAGGAACUUGCCUGCGGGACUGGGAUAACAGCAGGAAACUGCUGAUAAUACCGGAUAAGGUCAUUAAGCUGCAUAGCUUAGUGAUGAAAGGAGACGCCUGCGGAGAGCCUUGCGUCCUAUUAGCUAGUUGGAGGGGUAACGGCCCACCAAGGCGAAGAUAGGUAGCCGGCCUGAGAGGGUGGACGGCCACAAGGGGACUGAGAUACGGCCCUUACUCCUACGGGAGGCAGCAGUGGGGAAUAUUGGACAAUGGGGGCAACCCUGAUCCAGCAAUUCUGUGUGCACGAAGACGGUUUUCGGAUUGUAAAGUGCUUUCAGCAGGGAAGAAGGAAGUGACGGUACCUGCAGAUGAAGCGACGGCUAAAUACGUG
rnacentral:rRNA from 1 species